rnacentral:rRNA from 1 species
UACGAAGGGGGCUAGCGUUGCUCGGAAUUACUGGGCGUAAAGCGCACGUAGGCGGAUUCUUAAGUCAGGGGUGAAAUCCUGGAGCUCAACUCCAGAACUGCCUUUGAUACUGAGGGUCUUGAGUUCGGGAGAGGUGAGUGGAACUGCGAGUGUAGAGGUGAAAUUCGUAGAUAUUCGCAAGAACACCAGUGGCGAAGGCGGCUCACUGGCCCGAUACUGACGCUGAGGUGCGAAAGCGUGGGGAGCAAACAGG